rnacentral:rRNA from 1 species
UACGUAGGGAGCAAGCGUUUGUCCGGAAUCAUUGGGCGUAAAGCGCGCGUAGGUGGCCAUAUAAGUCCGUUGUGAAAGUCAAAGGCUCAACCUUUGAAAGCCGAUGGAUACUGUGUGGCUAGAGUACGGAAGAGGCGAGUGGAAUUCCUGGUGUAGCGGUGGAAUGCGCAGAUAUCAGGAGGAACACCAAUAGCGAAAGGGCAGCUCGCUGGGGACGUUUACUGACACUGAGGCGCGAAAAGCGUGGGGGAGCGAACAGG